rnacentral:rRNA from 1 species
UACGGAGGAUGCGAGCGUUAUCCGGAUUUAUUGGGUUUAAAGGGUGCGUAGGCGGCCAUUUAAGUCAGCGGUGAAAUUUUGCAGCUUAACUGUAACAGUGCCGUCGAUACUGUUUGGCUAGGAUUUGGUUGUAGUGUGCGGAAUGUGUGGUGUAGCGGUGAAAUGCUUAGAUAUCACACAGAACACCGAUUGCGAAGGCAGCACACUAAGUCAUUAUUGACGCUGAGGCACGAAAGUGUGGGGAUCAAACAGGAUUAGA